ensembl:lncRNA
GAUAACUAAUAUUGAGAGGAAAAGUAUGUAAUUGUCAAGAACAUCGCGUAAUGCUAGUAUUUAAAAGCUAUCUACCUUUUUUACGCACUAGCAUUUUAGGCUUUUGUUGUGCGUGUCCUCCGUUCAGGUACCUUUUACACACAAGCAUUUUAGGCUUUUGUUGUUCGUGUCCACCGUUCAGGUGUUUCCCCACCGUUCAGGUGUUUCCCCACAGACAUGUGCAUUGAGAGAGCUCCUAUUAGAAGUGGAAGUCCGUGGAUGGUUGAAUGGAAUGCGAAGCGGCCAUCUCUGUCGGCAACGGAAGUCUCUCCAGUCAUCCAGUCAAUCCAGGAGGACCUGAGCCCUAGGACCAUGCCUCAGUACUACCUGGCCCAAUGACUCCUUGCUGUCCCCAGUCCACCUGGUCAUCCUGCUGCGCCAGAUUCAACUGUUCUGCCUGCGGCUAUGGAACCCUGACCUGUUCACUGGACGUGCUACCUUGUCCCGGACCUGCUGUUUUGGACUCUCUCCACCACACCUGCUGUCUCUAACUCUGAAUGAUUGGCUAUGAAAAGCCAACUGAUAUUUACUCCUGAGGUGCUGACUUGUUGCACCCCCUAUGAACACUGUAAUUAUUAUUAUCUGAUCCUCCUGGUCAUCAAUUAACGUUUGAACAUCUUGGCCAUGUUCUGUUAUAAUCUCCACCUGGCACAGGUCACCACUGCAUACAGGCCUACUCUGUAGCUACAUGACAACAUUGAUAAUCACCACAACCUAAUGUUUUCAACCACUGUGAAUCAGUUUGUAAAAUAUCAGAGCCCUAUGACCAUGAAUAUUAGGCGAAGUGGUCUUCCCUAAUGAAGUCAAACCAAUCCAGAACCAUUCGCAACCUCUGGCCGAGGAUGCCCUAUCGCGCAGGAAAACAGCUGAUCCAACCAAGAGGUAACUGAGUUUAAAAUGUUUGUGAGACUGCGCUAAACAAUGGCUCCGGCUACUUUUAACUUGCAACCUGAUUUUCAAAUGAACGUUUAAGUAACUUCGAUGUGUCUGCCUUUCCUAAGAAGUUGGAGAAUGUGUCAAAUAAAAAUGCAGAUAAACGCUAAAACAAACGUUCCACGGAUUGUCUACGCAUAGGAGGAGUAAAUAGCAUUGUUAUUCUGCCCUACACGGUAUCAAGAACACAGGUCAUACUCAAAGUCCAUGAAUGGGAAUUAAUGGAUGAGAAUGAGCACAUAAAAUUGCUGACGGCAAUCAUUGUCACAUGGUUUGGGCUGCAUCUGGAACCAGGGGUGCAACUAGUUUUAGAAGUCGGGGGACAUCACCUGGUGGGGGUCCUCCCUCAGAUUUUUGGUGACAUCUAAAGCUAAUUUCCUCAAUUUCUAGGCUAGUUCCAGGCUGUAGCAGACAAAAAAAAACUUGGUCGAGAAAGAGUAGUCUUUUCUUUCGACCAAAUGAUUGCCAAAUAUCAAUGUGAUUCACAUUUUCAAACAGUCCAUUUAUAUUUCUCAACGGGGCUAUACGUUUGGGUGAUGUUUUUUUCUUGCCCGAGUAGCCUCGUUUCACUGCCAAAAAUAAAAUCAAACCAUCUAGUGUUCAGCGAAAUAACAAUGUCAAAUACAGGUAGCCUAGUCAAAUAAUUAACAUCUAAUAACAUUAACCGUUGCUCUCUCGCGGGAAUUCCACUAAAUGUAUGUAGCCAAACAAAAGACAAAUAAAUUGACAACAUUCGUAAAUGGAAUGAAAAAAAACUUGUUUCUCACAAGUGUAGUAUAGGUUGAGUUCUGCAAAACACCGUGUCCACUCUGAGAAUGGUAAAUGACUAAUAAUAAUAUAUUCAAUGCAUUAACAGAAAUGAUCGUAACCAAACAAACAUCUUAGAUUAGAAAUUCUGGGAAUUAACGGUAAACGUAGGCUAAUGCUAGUGAUAUAUGUAACGGGGAUUUGAUAGACACAGCAGACAAUGCACACAAUGAAGUUAUGAAACAAUGAAUGAAUACUCCUCAAUGGAUUUCACCACGGCCUCCUCAAAGGAUUAGUCCACUGAGACAGGCGCAAAUCAGACAUGCGUCUCGUGUGCCAUGAAAUAAAAUCUAUUUGCAUCUGCUUGACAAUUUUUUCUUUUCUUCAAGUUAUCCAUACAGACCCCUUUUGUCAUACAGUAUUCCAUAUUAGGCACCCAAACCGUAUGGAAUUUGCACAUUUAAGCUUAUUUAACGAGGCAAGUAAGUUAAGAACAAAUUCUUAUUUUCAAUGUCGGCCAAACACGGACACUGAGCCAAUUGUGCGUCGCCCUAUGGUACUCCCAAUCAAGGCCUGUUGUGAUACAGCCUGGAAUCGAACCAGGGUCUGCAGUGAUGCCUCUAGCACUGAGAUGCAGUGUCUUAGACCACUCUGCCACUUGGGAGCCUUAAUCUUGUAUAUGGUUAAAUUUAUAAUAAAUCAAAUAUAGUGAUGCAUAACUUGACAUUUCUGGAUAACCAACCUUCAGAUUAAAUGGCAAUUCAUUUCUUAGCCACUAUAAAUGCUAGGUUACACAGUUUCUUCUAAUAACAGUCUCCAGUAUCAUAAUUUCCAAUCAAACAAAAAGAGGGAGAAGGGAGAAUCUGUAGACAUGCUGAGAUAAAAGAACAUACUCCUGAUCAGAAUUCAGCCAGUCUUCACAAGACCAUAACAUAUGCAAAUAUGUCCCCUGUUGUGUUUUACACCUCCAGCAGAGGUGUAAAAGAACAGCGAUUAUAUUUCUGAGUGCAUGAUAUUCAGAUUCACUGGCAUAUAGUAUGCUCUAUGGAGGGUCUUAAACUGCAGUCAUUUGUCUGACAUUAUAUGAACAUGACUGGGCAUUCAACCUUACCUUUAUACAUUCAUCAUCAUCAAUAGUGUCUCCCAGUGUAAGCCGGACAGGAGAAGCAGGUAUGGGGAGUCAGACAUUUACUCGGGGAGUCAGACAUUUAUUUGGGGAGUCAGACAUUUAUUCGGGGAGUCAGACAUUUAUUCGGGAACAGACAAGGAAACAAGACAGGACCAGCGUCGGAACACGGGUAACACGGACAUGAGACAAUUAAUCCUGAACCAGGGAACAGCGCUUGGGAACAGACAGAUAUAGGGAAGGUAAUGUCACAAGUAAUUGAGUCCACGUGAGUCCAAUGAUUGCUGAUGCGCGUGACGAGGGGAAGGCAGGUGUGCGUGGAGGGGGCAUCUGCCCCUACCUCCUGCACUGUAUCGGCAUCCAGGCUGAAGGGACUACCUGCCAUAUGGCAACACCUGGAGCCCAUCCUGAGAGAAAUCAGAGAAAUAUGACCAGAUGUGGCAACCAUCAUUUGUUUUUGCGACGGUCCUUGCACACACAGUACAAGCAGCGUAGUAAUUUUGACCUCUUUUGUACUGACAUUUUCAAGAAGGGUUUUACAAGAGGAACCUGGAACUACUUUGAAGCCAGUCAUGGCAAAGGUGCCCCAGAUGAUGUGGGUGGCACAUUGAAGAGGAGGGUCGACAGGCUUGUCAGCCAAGGAGUUCAUAUCUCCACAGCAUUGUCCCUGUACCAAGCUCUGAGUGAGGGACAAUCGAAGGUGGAAUUGUUUUACAUUCAGGAGCAAGCUGUGGAGGAUGCAGUGAAAGAAAUGCCAGAUGAGGCUCCACCGGGUGGUCACUCUUUCACCUGGGAAAAUUCUCUACCGCAACGUCAACUGCAUGUGUUCUGCAACAGGGAAUCUGGAGUGUGAUUGCCGAAAAACAAAGUGCUUCAGCGUUAAUGCUACAAGAUGACCACACAGAAGACCCCAUGCACAGCACACCCAAAGAAGUGCAGUGGCACAGUUCAGAGGUUGUGGGGAAAUGCUGUGCACUGGUGUAUGACCACAACAUUUGACCGUUGAGGGAUGAUCUCCUUUGGUAUCCCUUUGAGGAUGUGCUGACCCUCAUUCCUCCCCCAGAGAUCUUUACCUCACGCCACAUGGACAUCGCAAGUGAGGUAUGGAAUACUCUGGCCAGCCACUAAAAUUAAAUCUGUACAUUAUAACAUCAGCUUUCUAAAAUAUUGAUCAGUUCAUGACUAUUUUUGAUAUGCUCAUUCAUUUUAAUGCCAGGUUGUCAGCCUACUGUGAUAUGACAAUUUUUUAUUUUUGUCCAUUGAUUGUUUGAUCAGAUCCAGUUUGUGGUCUUGUUGACAUGUUUAUUUUUAAUUAUUCCUACUCAUCCUGUUGAUCCUUCUUCAAAAAGAUAUAUACAAUAUUAUUAAACAACAUUCCUAUGGUUCUGAGUAUUAUUUGUCACAUUUAUGUCAUGAUCUACAAUCAAUAGAAA